UUGUUUAUCAAAAACAUGUCUUAUUGUUUAAUAAUUUUAGGUUUAUUCUGCUCAAUGAUUUAUUUAAAUAGCUGCAGUAUUUUGACUGUACAAAGGUAGCAUAAUCAUUUGUCUUUUAAUUGAGGGCUUGUAUGAAUGAUUGGACGAGAAAUUUACUUUCUUUAUUUUAAUUUAUGAAUUUGAUUUUUUAGUUAAAAUGCUAAGAUUUUGUUGUGGGACGAGAAGACCCUAUAGAAUUUUAUUAUUUUAUUAAUUAUUUAAUUUAUUUUAUUCAUUAUUUAAUUAUUUGGAAUAUUUUAAUUGGGGUGAUUAUGAAAUUUAAAAAACUUUUAUUUAUUAUUUUUUCAAUUAUUAUUGUUUUUUAUGAUCCUAUUUUAUGGAUUAGAAGAUUAAAUUACCUUAGGGAUAACAGCGUAAUUUUUUUGGAGAGUUCUUAUCGAUAAAAUAAGUUUGCGACCUCGAUGUUGGAUUAAAGUAAUUUUUGGUGUAGGUGCUAAAAUGUUUAAGUCUGUUCGACUUUUAAUUCUUUACAUGAUCUGAGUUCAAACCGGAGA
rnacentral:rRNA from 1 species